UACGUAGGGUGCGAGCGUUAAUCGGAAUUACUGGGCGUAAAGCGUGCGUAGGCGGUUCCUCAAGUCCGUUGUGAAGCCCGGGCCUCAACCUGGGAUGGCAGUGGAAACUAGGGGACUGGAAUCUGGCAGAGGGGGGUGGAAUGCCGCGUGUAGCAGUGAAAUGCGUAGAGAUGCGGCGGAACACCGAUGGCGAAGGCAGCCCCCUGGGCUGAGAUUGACGCUCAGGCACGAAAGCGUGGGGAGCAAACAGG
rnacentral:rRNA from 1 species